CCUACGGGAGGCAGCAGUGGGGAAUAUUGGGCAAUGGGCGCAAGCCUGACCCAGCAACGCUGCGUGAAGGAAGAAGGCUUUCGGGUUGUAAACUUCUUUUCGCAGGGACGAAGCAAGUGACGGUACCUGAGGAAUAAGCCACGGCUAACUACGUGCCAGCAGCCGCGGAAAUACGUAGGUGGCAAGCGUGAUACGGAUUGACUGGGAGUAAAGGGCGUGUAGGCGGGACGUCAAGUCAGAUGUGAAAACCACGGGCUCAACCUGUGGCCUGCAUUUGAAACUGGAGUGCUUGAGUACUGGAGAGGCAGACGGAAUUCCUAGUGUAGCGGUGAAAUGCGUAGAUAUUAGGAGGAACACCAGUGGCGAAGGCGGUCUGCUGGACAGCAACUGACGCUGAGGCGCGAAAGCGUGGGGAGCAAACAGGAUUAGAUACCCCUGUAGUC
rnacentral:rRNA from 1 species